rnacentral:rRNA from 1 species
UAGUCCACGCCGUAAACGAUGAAUACUAGGUGUCGGGGGAGACUUCGGUGCCGCAGCUAACGCAUUAAGUAUUCCGCCUGGGGAGUACGCACGCAAGUGUGAAACUCAAAAGAAUUGACGGGACCCGCACAAGCAGCGGAGCAUGUGGUUUAAUUCGAAGCAACGCGAAGAACCUUACCAGGUCUUGACAUCCCUAUGCCAUUAUUUAACCGAUAAGUUCCCUUCGGGGACGUAGGUGACAGGUGGUGCAUGGUUGUCGUCAGCUCGUGUCGUGAGAUGUUGGGUUAAGUCCCGCAACGAGCGCAACCCUUAUUUUUAGUUGCCAUCAGGUUAAGCUGGGCACUCUAAAGAGACUGCCGGUGACAAACCGGAGGAAGGUGGGGAUGACGUCAAAUCAUCAUGCCCCUUAUGAUCUGGGGCUACACACGUGCUACAAUGGGCUGGGUACAAAGGGGCAGCGAAGGAGUGAUCUGGAGCGAAUCUCAUAAAGCCAGCCCCAGUUCGGG